rnacentral:RNase_P_RNA from 1 species
AAUGAGCACCGGAGCGCCGGAAGCCAACGCAGUCUAAAGGCAUUUUGCGGUGCGCCCGCGAUUGAGGAAAGUCCGGACAUUGUAGGGUAGGAUGCUGGUUAAUGACCAGGCGGGGAAACCCGACGGAAAGUGCAACAGAAAGCAAACCGCCCGCCACGGUUAAACGUGGAAGGUAAGGAUGAAACGGUGAGGUAAGAGCUCACCAGCAACUUGGCAACAGGUUGGCUCGGUAAACCCCAUCCGAUGCAAGGCCAAACAAGGAGGGCAUGGCUGCAAGGCUAUGCAGAGAUGACCCGUCUCGCUCCUGGGUAGGCCGCUCGAGGCUGCAGGUAACUGCUGACCCAGAUUAAUGACAGUCCCGUUCCGCAAGGAAUAUGACAAAAUCCGGCUUAUAGGUCGUUUUAG